CACUCAAAUGGUUUCAAACGCGUCUUUUUGAAACUGGUGUUCAGAGGUUACCAAAAGCACUUUAUGUAUGAAGUAAUUUUUUCAAAAAUCAUAUCCAACGCACUUUGCUGGUUUGCUUUCUUUGCCUAUAUUAACACCAUCUAGAAAGCCAUCGUCUUCAACUUGCUCCUGUCUAUGGUGUGUAAUAGAUGAGAGAAACGGAGAGUCCUAGCAAGUCUUUGGAGAUGGGAGAGUAUGCAAGAAGGAAAAAUUCAUGAUUUAAUAUUCCUUCUUGCCUACUCCUCCCAUUCCAUCUGCUUUCUGCGACUCCUCUAUUUCCUUAUUCUAGACAAAAGCGUGAUCUAAAAUUAAUCAAGGAGCAAGAGGGAAAGGAAAGAGGGUUGCUGGGAGUUACGGGUAUGGGAGGAUUGGACAGUACUGCUUGGUUUUAAUUAACCAAAGUCUGUUCUUUCCAACGCCUCCCAUACCGGUGAUCUCCAGCUGUUUCCUCCCUUUCCCUUGCUUGUCCUGCUUCAGAUCCUUCAGUUCGGUGACAAAAGCGAGUUGUUGGUUAUGGAGUAUCGUUGAAAAGAUUAGAGGAAGUUUUGAUCUGUUGGUAGAUCUGAGUAAAUCAUUUGUCAAUCCAGCUAGAUUUAAUAUUAGCAACUGAUAAAUCAUGUGUUUUGAAAUGACGACUGUGAUAUUCACAACAUAUCUGUUCGCGCCUCUUCGAUUCCGGGGAUGCUGUCUCAGUUAGUUCUGUGCUGCAGAGCUUAAUUAGGUUUGAUGUUCCUUGAUUUGUUCUUUGAAUUUGGAAUUUAUUUUGAGCAUCUGUCCACGGGUUUCGCCUAUUAUGGAUGACCCCAACAUGAUUCAUACGAUGGGUGGAUGAAAUCAUACCAUACGGGUGUGGUCAGCUUUGUUUCUGUGAGUAAGGUACAGAAGUUUGAAGCUUUAAUGCUAUAUGAUUCUAUGGCUUGAUGUGUUUUGUUCUGCUAACAAGGUGGAGGUCUUUUGAAAGACUUGCUAUUGAUGUGGAUGAUUCUGUCAAAUAUGAAGUUCUUCGAGAUUUAAAUAUUCAGACUCAGAGGAGUGACACACCACACCACCACCUAAAACUGUGAUCAUCGUAUCUAAACAACGGAUGUAUCAAGGAUCUGUUAUUUUUUGAGGAUCGUGUGAACUGAUUGACUUUCAAGAUUAAACUGUUUGAUUA